rnacentral:rRNA from 1 species
AUUGAACGCUGGCGGCAUGCUUUACACAUGCAAGUCGAACGGUAACAGGCCGCAAGGUGCUGACGAGUGGCGAACGGGUGAGUAAUGCAUCGGAACGUGCCCAGUCGUGGGGGAUAACGCAGCGAAAGCUGCGCUAAUACCGCAUACGAUCUAUGGAUGAAAGCGGGGGACCGUAAGGCCUCGCGCGAUUGGAGCGGCCGAUGUCAGAUUAGGUAGUUGGUGGGGUAAAGGCUCACCAAGCCAACGAUCUGUAGCUGGUCUGAGAGGACGACCAGCCACACUGGGACUGAGACACGGCCCAGACUCCUACGGGAGGCAGCAGAGGGGAAUUUUGGACAAUGGGCGCAAGCCUGAUCCAGCAAUGCCGCGUGCAGGAAGAAGGCCUUCGGGUUGUAAACUGCUUUUGUACGGAACGAAACGGUCCCGGUUAAUACCUGGGGCUAAUGACGGUACCGUAAGAAUAAGCACCGGCUAACUACGUGCCAGCCGCCGCAGUAA